UCGGGGUAAAAAUAAAUAAAUCAGGGGCAAAAACUGGCAGCCUGAAGAAGUGCUUUUUUCCCCCCACAAAAUGUUCACAAAUCUUCCAGUUUUGUAUGCCUUUAGGUGGGCUUAUAUUCUCUAAUCUGUCAGAGGCUCCUCCAAACCUCUUACAUCAUAUCCUACAUACGUUUACUCAUUUAACUCCCUAAUCCAGUAGGUACUUGAAUCUUCCAGUCCCUACUUUAUAAACUAAGAUUAAUAAAUGAAUAAUUUCUUCCCAUUUGCAGAAAGCUUUUGACUGUCUUCCAAAAUGACUUCUAAUUGGGGGCUGGCCUUUUGUCAGUAAUAGUCUCUUCUAAGUGGAGAAAAUAGAAUGUGGUAACACAGCUUUGAUUUUAUUUGAGUAAGUUGUGUUCACAGCCACAUUGGAUGACUUGUAUUAUCAAGUUACAUAUAUGUUAUAUGGUUAUUUUCUAUUUUUUUUAAAGGAAGCUUUAUUCUUUCUUUUAUAAUUUUAUUUAUGUAUGUAUUUUUGGUUGCACUAGAUCUCUGUUGCUGUACACAGGGCUUUUACUUGUUGUGGCUCUCAGGCUGUACGGCAUGGGCUCAGUAGUUGUGACGGCCCGGCUUAGUUUUCAGGUGGCAUGUGGGGUCUUCCUUCCCAGACCAAGGAUCGAACCCAUAUUUCCUGCUUGCUAGGCAGACUUUUAAUAACUGGACCACCAGGGAAGCCCACUUAUAUGGUUACUUGCAAUUGCAUGUUUGAAAAUAUAUUUUUAAAGACUAAAAUGUCUAUAAGGAGUAUUCAUAAUUUUUAUAAUAUUUAAAUUUACAUUUAUUCCCUUAAAAAAAUCUCAGAACACUUAAAAAUAGUUUACAGAUAAUUUACAAAGCAUUCUUUUCUAUGUAGUCAAAGAAAAGAAUUCCACACUGUCUCACAAAGCAACAGAGGGAAAUUCACACUCAUUAUCUAAGGCAUUAAAUCACCAAGACUACAUACUUUUCUUAGUAAAAUUGACCUUUACUAACAUUAAGGGUAAGAACUUUCUGUUUAAUAAUUUGGGAGAUAAUUGUGAAAUACUUUAAACAAAUGGAAGGAUUUGGGAAAUUUAAAAGAAAUGUUAAGUAGUUCUUAUUUCUCCCAUUUUUUUUUUCCAAGUAAGCACUGCCUCAUAGACCAUUUUUACACUGUCACAUUUAGCUUCCAAUUUUUAAGGUUAAUUAGAGCUCUCUUUAGCCAAAAUAAUAGUGAAUUGCCUACAUUUAUGUUAACUGCUUUCCUGUCAGCCCCUAGUAGUUUGCUGUUUUGAUAUAGCGUAUUUUUUUUUUUCCCUAACUUCCAUCUUACAUCUAGUUUGGUAUGUUUUUAUUUUGUCUUCCUUUAGUAGUGUAAAAAGAUAAGUCAGUAUUAAUUUGUAAAAGGAAUGCAGAGUAAUACAAGAUGGACUUCUAAGGAUUUUUCUGAUCCCAGCAUUUCUCCAGCAAGUCUUAAAAUGUUGUCCAUAUCAUACCAUUAUGAUUUAUUCUAAUACAUAUUCUUAAAAAUAAAAAUGGUAAGUUGCAAGUAAUAUGUAAUAGUUAUCUGAGAUAUAAUGUAAGAGACAUAUAAAGAACAGUAAGACCCCCUUAGUUGUUUACAACCCAACUGAACAUUGAAAUUAUCAUGGGAGUUUUAAAAAUUACUGGUGCUUAGAUCCUUUACCCAGAAAUUCUGAUUUGGCUGCUUUGGAGUGCAGCCUGGACACAAGAUUUGUUUGUUUAACUCCUCAGAUAACUCUAAGUGCAACCAAUGUUGAAAACCACUGAACUAAGCCUAUCUGCAGAUUAUUGGUUCUUAACUUUGACUAAACAGUAGGCAAUUAGUCAAACAAUAAUCCAUAUCAGUGCUGCCAAGAACAAAGAGCUUUAUUUGGGGUCUUAGGAAUUGCCAUUCUGGAAGCACAAAUUGGGGUGAAGCUGAGUUUUCAAGAGAAAGAGCCAGGGACUUAUAAAGACAAAAGUCACAAGUUUGUUAAAGCUCUCUGGAAAGAAUUAUCACUGAUCCUUGUGCAGGAAAGAGAUAUUUGUUCUUAAGGGAUAUGCUGUCAGAGUUAUUUAGGGUAAGGGUCCAACAAGCACCUUAAAUUUCUGAAGCAUAGGGCAGAGUUCUGGAUGCCUGAGUUAAGACAAUAAGAGAUCAGAAGUUCAGAGUCCAUCAAGAAUCAAUUCCUCAGUAGCCUCCCAGCUCCAUUUCAGAGAUCUCUCUUGGCAACACUAAAUUUGUUUUAUUUUCCUCCCAGAGAAUUAACAGGUGCAUUAAAACUAUAGUGUCUGAAACUCUAGUCCCAUAGAUUAGAAUUUAGCUUCUCUUGAGGUGGAGUCCAGGAGAUAAGUCUGUUUUGUUUUCAGUGUGAUGAUUUUAAUGUGAAGUUAAAACUAAGUAUUACGACUCAAAAAUUAAGCUGUUUAAUACCACAGCAUGGGAGAGAUAUAGUACUGUUAUUGUGUUUUUGUGUUUUUAGAUAACAUGCUAUAUACAACCUUGGCCUGGUAGAAGCACUCAGUGGCACAAGUUUAGUUAUAUAACUAAAGCAAUUUAGAGACUGGAGGGCAGCAGUGAAAGUUCUCUUAUGAUGUACCUCAUUGCUUCAGUGACUGUUCUGUGAAGAGAUGAAAGCCUGACUACUUCUGGUUUACACAUUACAAUAUUUUGUGAGGUUUCAGAAGCGUUUCAUUUUCUCAGUGACCAAUUUGCCAACUUGAUUAUAUUCAUCUACUCAGGAAACUAGAAUUAAUGUAAUAAAGUAUUUAAAAACCAA